UCUGUAGGUGGCUUGCUAAGUCAGACGUGAAAUCCCUCAGCUUAACUGGGGAACUGCGUCUGAGACUGGCGAGCUUGAGUGCAGGAGAGGAACGCGGAAUUCCAGGUGUAGCGGUGAAAUGCGUAGAUAUCUGGAGGAACACCGGUGGCGAAGGCGGCGUUCUGGACUGCAACUGACACUGAUAGACGAAAGCCAGGGGAGCAAACG
rnacentral:rRNA from 1 species